GGUGAGUAACACGUGAGCAACCUGCCCUGGACUCUGGGAUAAGCGCUGGAAACGGCGUCUAAUACUGGAUAUGAGCCCCUAUCGCAUGGUGGGGGUUGGAAAGAUUUUUUGGUCUGGGAUGGGCUCGCGGCCUAUCAGCUUGUUGGUGAGGUAAUGGCUCACCAAGGCGUCGACGGGUAGCCGGCCUGAGAGGGUGACCGGCCACACUGGGACUGAGACACGGCCCAGACUCCUACGGGAGGCAGCAGUGGGGAAUAUUGCACAAUGGGCGAAAGCCUGAUGCAGCAACGCCGCGUGAGGGAUGACGGCCUUCGGGUUGUAAACCUCUUUUAGCAGGGAAGAAGCGAAAGUGACGGUACCUGCAGAAAAAGCGCCGGCUAACUACGUGCCAGCAGCCGCGGUAAUACGUAGGGCGCAAGCGUUAUCCGGAAUUAUUGGGCGUAAAGAGCUCGUAGGCGGUUUGUCGCGUCUGCUGUGAAAUCCCGAGGCUCAACCUCGGGCCUGCAGUGGGUACGGGCAGACUAGAGUGCGGUAGGGGAGAUUGGAAUUCCUGGUGUAGCGGUGGAAUGCGCAGAUAUCAGGAGGAACACCGAUGGCGAAGGCAGAUCUCUGGGCCGUAACUGACGCUGAGGAGCGAAAGGGUGGGGAGCAAACAGGCUUAGAUACCCUGGUAGUCCACCCCGUAAACGUUGGGAACUAGUUGUGGGGACCAUUCCACGGUUUCCGUGACGCAGCUAACGCAUUAAGUUCCCCGCCUGGGGGAGUACGGCCGCAAGGCUAAAACUCAAAGGAAUUGACGGGGACCCGCACAAGCGGCGGAGCAUGCGGAUUAAUUCGAUGCAACGCGAAGAACCUUACCAAGGCUUGACAUAUACGAGAACGGGCCAGAAAUGGUCAACUCUUUGGACACUCGUAAACAGGUGGUGCAUGGUUGUCGUCAGCUCGUGUCGUGAGAUGUUGGGUUAAGUCCCGCAACGAGCGCAACCCUCGUUCUAUGUUGCCAGCACGUAAUGGUGGGAACUCAUGGGAUACUGCCGGGGUCAACUCGGAGGAAGGUGGGGAUGACGUCAAAUCAUCAUGCCCCUUAUGUCUUGGGCUUCACGCAUGCUACAAUGGCCGGUACAAAGGGCUGCAAUACCGUGAGGUGGAGCGAAUCCCAAAAAGCCGGUCCCAGUUCGGAUUGAGGUCUGCAACUCGACCUCAUGAAGUCGGAGUCGCUAGUAAUCGCAGAUCAGCAACGCUGCGGUGAAUACGUUCCCGGGUCUUGUACACACCGCCCGUCAAGUCAUGAAAGUCGGUAACACCUGAAGCCGGUGGCCCAACCCUUGUGGAGGGAGCCGUCGAAGGUGGGAUCGGUAAUUA
rnacentral:rRNA from 1 species